AGAGCGAACGCUGGCGGCAGGCCUAACACAUGCAAGUCGAACGGACCCUUCGGGGUUAGUGGCGGACGGGUGAGUAACACGUGGGAACGUGCCUUUUGGUUCGGAAUAGCUCCUGGAAACGGGUGGUAAUGCCGAAUGUGCCCUUCGGGGGAAAGAUUUAUCGCCAUUAGAGCGGCCCGCGUCUGAUUAGCUAGUUGGUGAGGUAAUGGCUCACCAAGGCGACGAUCAGUAGCUGGUCUGAGAGGAUGACCAGCCACAUUGGGACUGAGACACGGCCCAAACUCCUACGGGAGGCAGCAGUGGGGAAUCUUGCGCAAUGGGCGAAAGCCUGACGCAGCCAUGCCGCGUGAAUGAUGAAGGUCUUAGGAUUGUAAAAUUCUUUCACCGGGACGAUAAUGACGGUACCGGAGAAGAACGCCCGGCUAACUUCGUGCCGAGCAGCCGC
rnacentral:rRNA from 1 species